rnacentral:rRNA from 1 species
CCUACGGGAGGCAGCAGUGGGGAAUUUUGGACAAUGGGCGCAAGCCUGAUCCAGCAAUGCCGCGUGCAGGAUGAAGGCCUUCGGGUUGUAAACUGCUUUUGUACGGAACGAAAAAGUCUGCCCUAAUACGGUGGGCCCAUGACGGUACCGUAAGAAUAAGCACCGGCUAACUACGUGCCAGCAGCCGCGGUAAUACGUAGGGUGCGAGCGUUAAUCGGAAUUACUGGGCGUAAAGCGUGCGCAGGCGGUUAUAUAAGACAGAUGUGAAAUCCCCGGGCUCAACCUGGGACCUGCAUUUGUGACUGUAUAGCUAGAGUACGGUAGAGGGGGAUGGAAUUCCGCGUGUAGCAGUGAAAUGCGUAGAUAUGCGGAGGAACACCGAUGGCGAAGGCAAUCCCCUGGACCUGUACUGACGCUCAUGCACGAAAGCGUGGGGAGCAAACAGGAUUAGAUACCCUGGUAGUCCACGCCCUAAACGAUGUCAACUGGUUGUUGGGUCUUCACUGACUCAGUAACGAAGCUAACGCGUGAAGUUGACCGCCUGGGGAGUACGGCCGCAAGGUUGAAACUCAAAUGAAUUGAGG